rnacentral:lncRNA from 1 species
AUCAUCCUAACCAGGAUACCGACCUAACAGGUCACUAACAAAGCAUCUCCCUAUCUCUUAGGAUACCAAUCUCAAUCAGGUCUCUAACAUAUACCAUCCUAACUCACAGGAUACAAACAUAUCAAAGCAGCAACAUAACAGCAACUACUCGGAUCUCAAUCCGAUAAGGGCCGACAUUGGUGCCUUAGACCCUGNNNNNNNNNNNNNNNNNNNNNNNNNNNNNNNNNNNNNNNNNNNNNNNNNNNNNNNNNNNNNNNNNNNNNNNNNNNNNNNNNNNNNNNNNNNNNNNNNNNNCGCUGGAGAUAUUCUUGCGAAGGCCUUUCAAGUUGACAUCAACGUUGUCUAUCAAAUUCAAUCGAAAUUCUAGCUUUUACAUGCUUUCAAAAUGUUGAUUUUCCUAUCCAUGUUGUGAUAUUUGUUAUGUUUAUGUUGUUAUAUUUAAAAUCGAAUAAUAUAUAUACUACUGUCAUAGUGAUUUUGAUUUACUUACGUGGAAUUAACUACUUCAAAAGUAAGAUAUAAACUCAAAACCCAAGAGUGUGCAAGAAAUACACUUAGAAAUCACAAAGUUAAAUUGACCUAAGAGUGUGCAAGAAAUAGACUUAGAAAUCAGAAAGACAAACCUAAGUUUGUGCAAGGAAUAGACUUAGAAAUCACAAAGACAAAUUUACGUAAAUAACACACUUGCUUUAGAAAGACUAGAAGUUCAACCGUAAACUUUUUUUUAAAUGAUUAAUAUGGUCCUUGGUGUUUCGUUUAGUUACUAUGUCGGUCAACAUGUGCAACCUAUGCAAAGUUAAUUUAUUAUCCUUUUAACUCUUUUUUGUUAUAAUUAAAAGUGAAAUUAGAUAAACCCCAACCCCAUCCACCUCACUUUAUGCCACCCACCUCCCAUUCCAUUCCCCACCCCUGUUGUCAACCAGAAGGUGUUUAGGGUUUUACCCACACCUAUUUGUAUCAUCUAUCUUCAACCUCUCCAUCUAUAAUCAAAGAAAAAACCUCCCACGAUCCUUGCUUAAAAAUAGAAAUCACGAAUUGGUCUCCAACCACCCUUUAAAGAUUUCCUUAACUAAAAGAAAAUGUUACAUAGUAAAACAUAAAAAUCUAUGUAUGAAAAAGCCACGCCUAUUUGCAUCAUCUAUCUUCAACCUGUCCAUCUAUAAUCAAAGAAAAACUCUCCCAAGAUCCUUGCCAAAAAAUAGAAAUCACGAAUUGGUCUCCGAUCACCCUUUCAAGAUUUCCUUAACUAAAAGAAAAUGUUACAUAGUAAAACAUAAAAAUCUACGAAUGAAAAAGCCACGCCUAUUUGCAUCAUCUAUCUUCAACCUGUCCAUCUAUAAUCAAAGAAAAACCCUCCCAAGAUCCUUGCCUAAAAACAGAAAUCACGAAUUGCCCUCCGACCACCCUUUUAAGAUUUCAUUAACUUAAAGAAAAUGUUACAUAGUAAAACAUAAAAAUCUAUGUAUGAAAAAGCCACAGAGCUUCUCUUGACAUUCAUCGGUAACUAGAAAGUGAGAGCAUCAAACAUAGAAACAAAUAUGUCAAAAAUACAAUGUCACGAAUAUAAAAAGAAAAUGUAUACAUGAUGUCUACUACUUUAAAAAAUUAUAUACACACAUGUAGCUACAUCCAUAUUAAUAUCUAAUAACAUACAAAAUUAAAUGUAACGACCGAAAAAUACAACCAAUUUUAAAUUUUUCAAAAACAGUUCGAUUCCAUUAAAUCUUUACAAAAAGGUUUUCAAUAUAAAACAUUUAACGUAUUCCCAGAAUCACAUUACUACAAAAUUACGAGGAACGGUACGAUCACGCAUUCGCCUUGCCAUAGUCUCCUAAAGAACCUGAAAAACAUGAAACCACAACUGUAAGCCUGAAAGCUUAGUGAGAUAUCCCCAAAAUACCAACCACUAAUACCAUACACGCAUAACAUGCCAUGACAUAUCAGAUCAUAGAACAGCCAUGCACUUCGGGUCUACUGUGUGACUGGUCCGCCACACCGGCCUACAGUCCACCUAGUCCACCCUCUGAGUCUAUCCACAUACAUCGAGUCUGCAGUGUAGUUGGUGCGCCCACUCCCAACCUUCAAUCCACCUGGUCCACUCUCUAAGUCUACAGUAUGACUGGUUCGCCCGCACCGGGCCUUCAGUCUAUCUGGUCCACUCUCCGAGCCUUCGGCACGUCUGGUCCGCCCUUUCGGGGCCUACAGCCUAUCCGGACCGCUCGCUGGGCCUUCGGGACAACCGGUACGCCCUGGGUAUCUUGGCCUACAGCACACAGCAGGACCCGCCUCAACCCAACUCCAGUCCAAACAACCAUGUGCACAUAUACAUANAACCAGGUCUCUAACAUAUACCAUCCUAGCUACCAGGAUGCAAACAUAUCAAAGCAAUAACAUAACAACAAAUACCCGGAUCUCAAUCCGAUAAAGGGCCGGCCUUGGUUCCUUAGACCCUGUUUAUAUAGUGAGGAUAACUCACCUCGAAACUGACGACUGAGCAAAUAACUUAAGCUGUUCCGAUCACUGAUACGAUCUCCACCACUGGACAACCACCAAAGCACUGAACUCAAAACAAUAUCCAACAAUUACCAAAAUUCCCCUUGAAAUCACUGGUCAACCCUUGGUCAAAGUCAAAGCCAACACCUAACUGACUCUACUCGCCGAGUCCCCAUACACAGAACUUCCCCAAUCCUCGACUCAACUCGCUGAGUCACCCCGAGACUCGCCAAGUUCAGCAACUCUGAGUCCACUCGCACACAACUCACCGAGUCAUCCCUUGACUCACUGAUUCUCGGCUCAACCAGAAAAGAUUGGGACUCUUCGACAAGACUCGCCGAGUCCAAGAAUAGACUCGUCGAGUCUAAGGCUAUCUUCAACUUACUCGCCGAGUUGUUCUUCCAACUCGUCGAGUUCCAGGCCAUCUUCAUCCAACUCGCCGAGUUCCAGCCUAUCUUCAAGCAACUCGCCGAGUCCACCCAUGUGACUCGUCGAGUACCACCGGGUCUGAAUCCAUACCGAGGCUUUCCAAGCCAUGCAGAUGAUCCAAACCAUAGAUCUACCCUUCCUAAGUCCAUCCAUCACAUAAAGUGGAAAACUUUACGUGAAUCCAAGGAGAUCUAGGCAUUUUCACUUUAGGGUUUGGGCUUGGGACAAGAUAGCUCCUUCAAUCACUCACAAACAGGGACUUUUGUGCAUUCUAGCCCUUUUCCAUUCCAGAUCUGAGGUAGAAACCUCAGAUCUAACCUCUAAACUCCAAUACACCAAAAGAUAUGAUCUCUAACACCCCCAAAAAUGAUGAAUCUAGACAAUAGCGACCAAAAGUCGCGACCCUACUCGCCGAUUCCACCCAUGGACUCGCCGAGUUCCCCUUCCCAAUAUACUCUUUUAGCCCUUCAACUCUUCUCUUGAUAUUUCGGGAUGUUACAAUUCUCCCCCACUUAGAUUAGGCUUCGUCCUCGAAGCCUACAACAAUUCAAUCCCAAAGAUACUCCCACAACGCGCCACCUGGCCUUAACCGGGCCAAGUCCCUCAGGGCAUACCCAUCAAAACUCAAACACACUUUCUGUUUCCUUACGGACCUGACCACCAUCUCGAGCCGGGCACCGGCUGUACCCUCUGAUAAUCACACUCAAUAACCGAGAAUUACCCAUGAAGCAUCACUGCCCCAAAUCUCAACAAUCACUCGACCCAUAAGGGCUAGAAAGCCAUGAACCAUCGGAUCCCCGAUCCAAAUCCCACUCUAUCCAUUUCGUGAUGACGGAAAGACCCAUUCUCAAUCUCAGAGCAACUCCCACGAGUUCUCCUCUUGCAAUCACAUACACAUGCUAAACUUGCUCCAGCACCCUCAGGUUGGGAAAACCCGAUACAUUGAUGAUAUCCUCCAACAUCCCCCACGAUGAACCACUAAUACAUAUCCAAUACCCUGAUCAGAAUCACGCUGAGAGCCCAAGACUCUCUCCCUGCAUCCCUUCCGAGUCUCUUGGCUCUACAUCUGCGGAAUUCCCUCCGCGAUCUCAGCAGACAUCCCAAACCGGAUGAGCUUUUAGUCCACUGCCGCAAACACGCUGCUCAAUAACCAUACUCGAAUUACUCUAUUCAUAACUCUGCUCUGCCGCUUUCACUUCCGUGAACUUGCACUCCUUCGCGGAGUUACACACCUCUCUCUUAUCCUUACCAAGGAAUCUACUUGACCACAUUGUCACUCUGACGAGUGCCACGAUGCUCACCCAACGCUACACCACCCUUUUUAUCGUAUCUGCUAUCCAUCCAACACACAUACUCUGACUCUCAUUGCAGGGACUCUCAAGCCCAUGCACUAUCUCCACUAAUCAAGAUCACUACCUGGGGCCAGACGUUCUAAUGCAAUCACACUGCAACAUACACAAUCCAUAUCCUCAAACUGAUCCAACAAUACCUACAGAUUCUUCAGCAUGACUGGACCGCCUCACCAGGCCUUCAGCCCAUCUGGACCACUCUCAGAACCUUCAGCCAAUCUAAACNCAGUGCCUUCAGUUUGGCUGGAUCGUUCUCCGAGCCUUCGGCCUGACUGGUACGCCUACCGGCCUUCAGUCUAUCCGGACCGCUCAACUAUCAUUCAACAUUCCGAGCUAUCCACCCCUCCGGAAAUCCUCCCAUGCAUACCAUUCUAGCCCUCUAGGGGUUCCGAACUCUAACUCCAUCAUACAUACUCGAUCCCAGCCUGCUCCUAGGCCCUCCACAAUCAAAUGCCCUAGGUCUGUAUCGCGCCCCGCAUGCCCGACACUUACUCCUAUCAGCCUAUACUCUGGGUUGACAGAACACUUGUUGAAUCCCAACAGCUAAGCACCCUCAAAUACUCAUCGAUCUCCCGGAGAAUUCUCCAAUUCUCCCCCACUUGUAACACUGAUUAACAACCAUCGGUCGCCAUCACCGACCUCUCAGAACAACUCUGCACAAAGAAAACACUUACACGCGGACUGCUUCCCACAAGCAUAAACAACCUUAACAAGAUCUCACAUCAACACUGAUCAACCUGCUCGAAAGACACUCAAUCUGCAUCUAACCACUCCUCGGAAAGCAGAUGCCACCCGGCCUACAACCCAAUGCCGGGUUUCCACUAAUAACUGUCAUGGAUGAUAACCAACGAAAUUCCCAAAACAAUAACCCAUAACCAAAACCACAACCCGCAAAAUGACGAAUACCACAUCGAAAACUAAACAAAAUACCAGCACAUAAACAAUACACCACAAUAUUCACAAGAUAACAAGAUAUCAAGAAAGAAACAUACCUGCAGCUGCAUCCGGCACUGCUCUGACCUCCUCUGCUGCAAGCUGAAAAGCACGACCCUGAGCCCUUGGGGGCUCCGCUCCACCCUGACCUCCACCUGUGAUCCUCAAAGUGGCCGGUGCUGGAGCCUGCACCGGUCCUGCAACAAGCUGUGGACAGUUGACCCUCAAAUGCCCAACCUGAUGACAAUGAUAGCAAAUCCUCAAAUCCCGAACUGGCGCUGACUGCCGACAAUCCCUCGCAUAGUGCCCCUCCUUUCCGCACUUGCGGCAUGCACCACCGGACCUACAAACCCCGAUGUGACCCCUCCCACACUUCCCACAAGUGUGACUGCUCAGAUCCCCCACUCUAACAUCAACGGUCUUGGACCGUUUCGGCGCCGGCUGCGACUGCACCGGAGCCUGCCUCAGCUCACGCAACUGCAACUCAAUCUCUAACUCACGCCGCCUAGCGGCCUCCUGCAACUCCAACAAGGUCUCGCACCUCUGCGCAGACACAAACUGUCUGAUGUCCCUCUUGAGCAUGCUCAGAUAUCGAGACAUCUGAGCCUGCUCCGAAGCGAACUCUGGGCAAAACAUCGCCCUCUCAGUGAACAUCCUGGUGAUCUCAGUCACCGACUCCGAACCCUGCUUCAGCUCAAGGAACUCCUGAGCCAAUCUCUCCCUCUCAACUUGCGGAACAUAACGAGUGCUGAACAUUUCUCUGAACUGAUCCCAUGAAACCGCAGCCCUCUGCGCAUCCGAAUAUGACCCCGUGGUCAAUCUCCACCAAUCCUUCGCCCCGAGCCUCAACAGGUUCAGAGCACACCUCACCCUCUGAUCAGCAGGGCAUGAACACGUGAAGAAACACCCCUCCACGUCUGAUAACCACCUCAUAGCAACAAUCGGGUCCUGAACUCCAUCGAAUGUGGGAGGCUUCGUAUUAUCGAAGUCCCGAUACUGAAAACCCCGACUAGCUCCUCCCCCUGCCGCUGCUACAGCCGCUGUAGCCGCCGCGGCAGCCGUCUCAGUGAGAGCUGCAUAGCGCUCAUCAAAAUACUCAACCAUGGCGGUCUUAAUCGACCCAAACAGCUCUGGCAACUCAGCCCGGAACAACUCAGCAAUCUCAUCACGCAGGAUCUCACGAAUCCUCGCAUCCAACUCGCUCGUGCUCAUCUGACCGAUAACCUCGGGCGGCACCGAUCCGCCCGGAACUCUCUCUCCAGCUCCCGAUCCUGAUCCGGAUCCACUCUCAUCAUGCCUCGGAAUCUCCAUACUGAAAAACACCACACAAAAUCUCAGACUCUUCCCACAACCUGGGAUCCAACUCUCUCAACCCAACCCUAGAGAUCAUGGUUUCCCUGAUACGCGUAUGGGUCCUGUGCUUUCAGUAGUACGGGCCCAUACUACCUUCCACACCUACCCAUAUUUGUAUGAAGUACUACCACAACGCCCUAGAGAAACAUGCAUAACAACGCUCAACCCUCACCACUAGAGGAACACUGAAAAUAUCCCAUAAGGAACCCUAGGCUACAGGCAUCACAAAUCAGGCAACAUAUCAUGAAAUCCUGAAGAUCCCUAGCCUAUCACUAGCAUGUUGUUCUAUCAAAGCUCAAAAACAAAUAACAUGCAUGGUAUUUUGGGGUUACUUACUGGCUCCGGCUGAUCGUACCUCCGCGUCCUCCCUUACUCAUUUUGAAAACCAUUUUAAAUACUCUUUUGAAAACUCUCCUCGAUUUGAGACUGGAGUCACACGAAUGUUCCUCCAAUUCACUCAAACCAAGGCUCUGAUACCAACUUGUAACGACCGAAAAAUACAACCAAUUUUAAAUUUUUCAAAAACAUCUCGAUUCCAUUAAAUCUUUACAAAAAGGUUUUCAAUACAAAACAUUUAACGUGUUCCCAGAAUCACAAUACUACAAAAUCAUGAGGAGCGGUACGAUCACGCCUUCGCCUUGCCACAGUCUCCUGAAGAACCUGAAAAACAUGAAACCACAACUGUAAGCCCGAAAGCUUAGUGAGAUAUCCCCAAAAUACCAACCACAAAUACCAUACACGCAUAACAUGCCAUAACAUAUCCGAUCACAGAACAGCCAUGCACUUCGGGUCUACUGUGUGACUGGUCCGCCGCACCGGCCUACAGUCCACCUGGUCCACCCUCUGAGUCUAUCCACAUACAUCGAGUCUGCAGUGUGAUUGGUCCGCCCGCACCGGGCCUUCAAUCCACCUGGUCCACUCUCUGAGUCUACAGUAUGACUGGUCCGCCCGCACCGGGCCUUCAGUCGGCCUGGUCCACUCUCCGAGCCUCGGCACGUCUGGUCCGCCCUCUUGGGGCCUACAGCCUAUCCGGACCGCUCGCUGGGCCUUCGGGACAACCGGUCCGCCCUGGGUAUCUUGGCCUACAGCACACAGCAGGACCCGCCUCAACCCAACUCCAGUCCAAACAACCAUGUGCACAUAUACAUACAAUCAUAUAGCAAUUCACAGUCAACAAGCAGAUCAAACAGAUCACAUAACAUAUCAUCAUCCUAACCAGGAUACCGACCUAACAGGUCACUAGCAUAGCAUCUCCCUAUCUCUCAGGAUACCGAUCUCAAUCAGGUCUCUAACAUAUACCAUCCUAGCUCCCAGGAUGCAAACAUAUCAAAGCAAUAACAUAACAACAACUACCCGGAUCUCAAUCCGAUAAGGGCCGGCCUUGGUGCCUUAGACCCUGUUGAUAUAGUGAGGAUAACUCACCUCG